rnacentral:rRNA from 1 species
UUCUGGCUCAGGAUGAACGCUGGCGGCAUGGAUUAGGCAUGCAAGUCGAACGUACUCCCUUCGGGGAGAAGUGGCGAAAGGGUGAGUAACACGUGAGCAACCUGCCUCCGGAUCCGGAAUAAUCCAGGGAAACUUGGUCUAAAACCGGAUGAAGACAUUGGGCCGCAUGGUCUGGUGUUAAAAAUAUUUAUAGGUCCGGAGAGGGGCUCGCGGCCCAUUAGCUUGUUGGCGGGGUAAUGGCCCACCAAGGCUACGACGGGUAGGUGGUCUGAGAGGAUGGUCACCCACACUGGGACUGAGACACUGCCCAGACUCCUACGGGAGGCUGCAGUCGAGAAUCUUCCGCAAUGGGCGCAAGCCUGACGGAGCGAUGCCGCGUGAGGGAUGAAGGCCUUCGGGUUGUAAACCUCUGUCAUCCGGGACGAAAACAAUGACGGUACCGGAAAGGAAGCCACGGCUAACCACGUGCCAGCAGCGGC